UCCAGACUCCUACGGGAGGCAGCAGUGGGGGAUAUUGCACAAUGGGGGGAACCCUGAUGCAGCGACGCCGCGUGGGUGAAGAAGCGCCUCGGCGCGUAAAGCCCUGUCAGCAGGGAAGAAAAUGACGGUACCUGAAGAAGAAGCCCCGGCUAACUACGUGCCAGCAGCCGCGGUAAUACGUAGGGGGCAAGCGUUAUCCGGAUUUACUGGGUGUAAAGGGGGCGCAGGCGGCGCGCCAAGCCCGAUGUGAAAGCCCGGGGCUCAACCCCGGGACUGCAUUGGGAACUGGCGUGCUGGAGUGCCGGAGGGGCAGGCGGAAUUCCUGGUGUAGCGGUGAAAUGCGUAGAUAUCAGGAGGAACACCGGUGGCGAAGGCGGCCUGCUGGACUGCAACUGACGUUGAGGCCCGAAAGCGUGGGGAGCAAACAGGAUUAGAUACCCUAGUAAC
rnacentral:rRNA from 1 species